AGCCUUAUAUUCAUUAAUGAUGAUAGAAUGCAAUUCUGUAGGAAUAAUUUAGUAAUUACUAAGGCUU
rnacentral:tRNA from 1 species